rnacentral:rRNA from 1 species
UACGUAGGGUGCAAGCGUUGUCCGGAAUUAUUGGGCGUAAAAGGAGCUCGUGAGGCGGUUUUGUCGCGUCGUGACCGUGGAAAGUCCGGGGACCUCAACUCCGGAUACUGGCGGUGGGUACGGGCAGACUAGAGUGAUGGUAGGGGAGGACUGGAAUUCCUGGUGUAGCGGUAGAAAUGCGUAGAGAUCCGGAGGAACACCGACGGCGUAGGCAGCGCCCUGGACGACACCUGACGCUGAGGCACGAAAGCUGGGGAGCGGAACAGG